UGGGGAAUUUUCCGCAAUGGGCGAAAGCCUGACGGAGUGACGCCGCGUGGGGGAUGAAGGCCUUCGGGUUGUAAACCCCUGUCAGAGGGAAAGAAGGGCCGGCGUGUGAAUAGCGCGUCGGUCUGACGGUACCUUCAGAGGAAGCCCCGGCCAACUCUGUGCCAGCAGCCGCGGUAAGACAGAGGGGGCAAGCGUUGCUCGGAAUCACUGGGCGUAAAGGGCGCGUAGGCGGGAUGACAAGUCGGUCGUGAAAUCCCUGGGCUCAACUCAGGGGGGUCGGCCGAUACUGCCAUUCUUGAGGGAUGCAGAGGAGACUGGAAUUCCCGGUGUAGCGGUGAAAUGUGUAGAGAUCGGGAGGAACACCGGUGGCGAAGGCGGGUCUCUGGGCAUUCCCUGACGCUGAGGCGCGAAAGCGUGGGGAGCAAACGG
rnacentral:rRNA from 1 species